AAGUGUUUUGCUCAUGCUAUGAAGUGUGGCUUUGGCUUAGCUGCCUUUGUUUUUUUCUUUCCCCCCAGAGUUAGCCUUUCUCUCUGCAAAACAUUGCAUCCUGGCUCUUGGAAAUCCCUCCUGAAUCUGGAGAAAUUAUGUCUUGCCAACCAGCCUCCUUUCCUGGGAUCCAACGUGACUGCUGAUGGCGCACCAGUUGCUCCACUUGACAGUAAGUUUGCCUGUCUCGUUUCACUUAAAUGUUCACCGGUGAGUAUCAGUAGAUGUGGAGAGCCUUCCUUACCACAGUUUAUUAUGUUUCUUGGCCAUGAUAAUUACUUUUAUAAUACCACUUGUGAAUAAAUUGACCAAAUUAGGGUGAAUCACCUGGCUGGCCCUUGGCUCCUGGAAUGAUCCUCCUCGUGUGACUUGGUGGCAUUAUUACAAAAUACAGCAGGAUAGACCUGCCCAGCCAUCAGAGCAGGACGUUCAUUUGUGAUGCUGCCUUAAGGAGAUAAGGAGAUGAGAGCAAAUUGUUCCAGCGGCUCGGCCUGCCCGGCCAACAGUUCUGCGGAGGAGCUGCCGGAGGGCCUGAAGGCGUACGGGAACCUGGAAGUGGUGUUCACGGUGGUGUCGGCCCUGAUGAUCGGCCUACUGAUGUUCUCCUUGGGAUGCUCUGUGGAGGUCCAGAAGCUCUGGGGGCACAUCAGGAGACCCUGGGGCAUCGCUGUGGGACUGCUCUGCCAGUUUGGGCUCAUGCCUCUUAUCGCCUACCUCCUGAUCAUCAGCUUCUCUCUGAAGCCCCUCCAAGCUAUGGCUGUCCUCAUCAUGGGGUGUUGCCCAGGGGGAACCGUCUCAAACAUUUUCACCUUCUGGGUGGAUGGAGAUAUGGAUCUCAGCAUCAGUAUGACAACCUGUUCCACAGUGGCUGCCCUGGGAAUGAUGCCACUCUGCCUUUAUCUCUACACCUUGCCCUGGAAUCUCGAACAGAAUCUCACCAUUCCAUAUCAGAACAUCGGAAUCACCCUUGUGUGCCUGAUCAUUCCUGUGGCCUUUGGUAUCUAUGUGAAUUAUAGGUGGCCAAAACAAUCCAAAAUUAUUCUUAAGAUCGGGGCCAUUGCUGGCGGACUCCUCUUCUUGGUCAUCGCAGUGGCUGGUAUGGUGCUGAUGAAAGGAUCUUGGAAUUCAGACAUCAUUCUUCUGAUGAUCAGUUUCAUCUUUCCUUUGAUUGGCCAUGUCAUAGGCUUUCUCCUGGCACUGCUUACCCACCAAUCUUGGCAGAGGUGCAGGACAAUUUCCUUAGAAACCGGGACUCAGAAUGUUCAGAUGUGCUUCACCAUGCUGCAGUUAUCCUUCACUGCCGAGCAACUGGUCCAGAUUCUUAACUUCACAUUGGCCUAUGGACUUUUCCAGGUGCUGGAUGGGUUUCUCAUGGUGGCUGCAUAUAAGAUGUACAAGAGGAGAUUGAAGAACAAACAUGGAAACGAGAAGCCAGGUUGUCAAGCCCGUCAUAGGAAGAAAACCACUUCUCCCAAAGAGGCCAUUGCUUUCUUGGAGUGAAGCGUGAUCCCCAUCAUUACAUGAAGUCGUCAAACUGUGAAUUUUAAUCUCACAAGAGUUAGGACUCUGGGUAGAGGAGAUGUCACCUCACGCUGCAGAGCAAGGACAGUCUGGACCCACUUGAUUUCUUGACUUUGGGCAAGUGCUUUGGGGUAGUGGGGAGAAAGCAUACAACUCUCAUAAAAAUGGGUCUUUUCUCAAAUGAAGAUUGGUCUUUAAGGGCUUGAAAAUCUUCUUAGAUUUAUAGAUGUAAUACAGGGGAUUACAUUACAUUCCCUAGAGGGAAUCUAACGAACCCUUGAAGGUAAUAUUUUUACUCCCUAGAAACAGGCACAUUUAUUCUUCUCAUAUGUAGAUUUGUUAUAUAAUUUAAAAAGUGCAUUCCAUGUAUACUGUUUCAUAAAUCACUAAAUGAUUAAUCACUGACUCAAUGGACACGAGUUUGAGCAAACUCCAGGAGAUGGUGACGGACAGGGGAGCCUGGGGUGCUGCAGUCCAUGAGAUUGCAAAGAGUUGGCCUUGACUUAGCGACUGAACAACAAAAACCAACAACAUAUUACAGAGCAUCUUCUCAUGUCAGUCUGUGUUGACCUACCUCAUUCUUCGGAACAGUGGCUUCAUAGAAGUAUUCCAGUGUAUGGAAGGACUGUAAUUCAUUUCACCAUUUCUUAUUCAAGGACAUUUAGAUGGCUUCCAACUUCUUGGUAUUACAGUGCUGUUACAAACACCUGUGCCUCCAUGCCUGUGUUUCUGCAGGAUCAUUCUCUAGACUUGAAUUGCCAGGCUGAUUGCACAUUAAAAUGCUGGGCAGAGAGCUCUCUGGCAAUGUUGUACAGCAGUGCCUGAGAGUGUCUGGCUUCCCACAGCCACAUUCAUCUUAAGAAUGAUCGUUCUGCUUUGUGAAAAUCUCAUUUAAAAUUGCAUUGUUAAAAUUGAGUGAAGCAGAGUAUUUUUCAUGAGUGCGUGUUCAUGUCCUUUGCCCGCUUUUCUAUUGUAUUUUUUCCUUUUUGAUUGAUACAUUUUAACACAUGCUGGACAGUGACUCUUUGCUCUAUGUUUUGUCAAUAUUUUACCUCUCUCGUCUCUUAGUUUUGUAUAAUGUCUUUUGCUGUAUGGAAGUUUCACAUGUUCAACUUUAUUAGUCUUUCAAAAUUGUUUUUUGACCUUAAUAUCUAUCAAAUGUUAGAAUAUUUGUAUCUUUGUGUGGAUCAUGAAUUGUAAAAGGACCCCUUUUUCGUGAAUGCAUGUGGACCCUUUUCAAGGAGUUCUUUUUGGGGUCAACAUAUUUACUAGCUGCCGUGUAUACUGUCUGGCAGUAGAUAAAACCCAUCCUUCUCCUCUAACAUUAUUAAAAUAUUUCCUGUAUUUUCCAUUACUUUGAUUGACUAAAUAUGUACAUAUUUAUUCUAUUUUGAAUUUAUGCUUUCUAUGCUAUGUUAAAAAUCUAAUUAAUUGUCCUAACAUCAUAUACUGUAUCAGUCAUCUUUUCUCUACUGAUAUGAAAUGCCACUUGUAUCAUGUAACUUUCUAUUACUGUGUUUUCUUGGGCUCUGUUUGGUUCCAUUUUUAAAUUAUUUAUAAAUUGUAAAAUGUGUAAAAGCA